AUGACACCUAGGGUUUCGAGUUUUUAUGCUAGAUUUAGGUUGACACAUGAACAAUCGAAAGAAAAGGACCAGAGAUAUGGACUUAUCGUAGGAAGACGAACAAGACUAUGUGAUUUACAGACAUUUCUAAACUGCACCACCGCAGGCGCCGCCAGUGCAGUGGUGGUGAAUUUUCAAUUGUUUGAACGAAGAAGAUAUGAGAAGACAGGGGAGAGAGUUCGCGUUUGA